rnacentral:rRNA from 1 species
AGCGAACGCUGGCGGCAGGCUUAACACAUGCAAGUCGAGCGCCGUAGCAAUACGGAGUGGCAGACGGGUGAGUAACGCGUGGGAACCUUCCCAAUGGUGCGGAAUAGCUCAGGGAAACCUGGGGUAAUACCGCAUACGCCCUUCGGGGGAAAGAUUUAUCGCCAUUGGAUGGGCCCGCGUCGGAUUAGCUAGUUGGUGGGGUAAUGGCCUACCAAGGCGACGAUCCGUAGCUGGUCUGAGAGGAUGAUCAGCCACACUGGGAAUGAGACACGGCCCAGACUCCUACGGGAGGCAGCAGUGGGGAAUAUUGGACAAUGGGCGCAAGCCUGAUCCAGCCAUGCCGCGUGAGUGACGAAGGCCUUAGGGUUGUAAAGCUCUUUUGGCGGGGAAGAUAAUGACGGUACCCGCAGAAUAAGUCCCGGCUAACUUCGUGCCAGCAGCCGCCGUAAAAC